rnacentral:rRNA from 1 species
AUUGAACGCUGGCGGCAUGCUUUACACAUGCAAGUCGAACGGUAACAGGCCGCAAGGUGCUGACGAGUGGCGAACGGGUGAGUAAUGCAUCGGAACGUGCCCAGUCGUGGGGGAUAACGCAGCGAAAGUUGCGCUAAUACCGCAUACGAUCUAUGGAUGAAAGCGGGGGACCGUAAGGCCUCGCGCGAUUGGAGCGGCCGAUGUCAGAUUAGGUAGUUGGUGGGGUAAAGGCUCACCAAGCCGACGAUCUGUAGCUGGUCUGAGAGGACGACCAGCCACACUGGGACUGAGACACGGCCCAGACUCCUACGGGAGGCAGCAGUGGGGAAUUUUGGACAAUGGGCGCAAGCCUGAUCCAGCAAUGCCGCGUGCAAGAAGAAGGCCUUCGGGUUGUAAACUGCUCUUGUACGGAACGAAACGGUCCUGGUUAAUACCCGGGGCUAAUGACGGUACCGUAAGAAUAAGCACCGGCUAACUACGUGCCAGCCGCCGCUGUAAUAC